UUCUCGUUAGGAAUAGUGGGUUAGGGAUACCCGCCUGUCACGCGGGUGACCCGGGUUCAAUUCCCGGACGCGGAA